GAGCGAAAUCGUUUGAAAACUUUCACGUCACUUUUGCCGUAACAAUUUGAGCACGGUUUCUAAACGGAGCGAGGUGAAACGGCGGAGCGCUUGAUAGCUUCGUGUGAACACAAACGUGUAAACUCGAAUGCUUUUCAGUUAAAUUUCUUGGGUCUAUUUGAAAUAUUUUGGGUUUAUACGAGUGCUAAUUCAAUUUGUAAACAAACUGUAAUGGCUUAAUAGCCUGAACACACAUAAAUUCUACCCGCAUUAGUUCGCUUGCGCGUAGUGUGAACGUAGUCUAAUUUUCGGUGACGUUUUCAAACGGCAAGGUAGCCUUUAGAAAAAUUUAGAAAUAGUGGAUGUCCGAAGGGGAGGGGGGUAAUUUUGGGCUUUGAUGUCCGGAGAGGGGGGGAGGAUGAACCAUUCAAGGAUGUCCGAAGGGGGGGAGGGGGUUAUUUUCGAUUUCCUCCGUAGGGGGGUAUGGAUCUUUUCUGGAACGACCCAAUGUCAAUUCAUUUUGACUCCAGGUGUCUGCUGUACCAGUAAAUAUAUGUUUUUAAAUAUCUUUUUUUAUAGAACUAUUUAUUUCUCCACCUGGAGUAUGUGCUUCAAAAUUGAACAAGUUUCUUUUCAAACUUUCCACUAGGCCAAAAAAAAUAUGUGGGUUUCCGGUUUCUUCUUAUAAAAACUUAGGUAGGGUAGAUCGGUUUUAACUUUUUUUUUUAACUUUUUUUUUAAUUUUCCGAACAAGCGGACGCCAUUUUGUUUAGUCAGUGCUUCCACGUCCAAAGAUAAAUUUCCCUAAUAUUGCCUCAAAUUUCAAUUUUCUGCAAACUUUUUCCUCUAAGUGGAAACACUUACAAGCAUGAUCCAAUAAAAAAGUUUAGGGUCGGAAUUUCGAUGUCCAAAAGCUAGGUAGGGUCGGGAAACCGGAAACCCACAUAUUUUUUUUUGGCCCUAUCAGCCUACGAACUUUAAUCUUACUAGCCCGCUUACCGAGAAGCCCCACCUAAAUCUAUGACUGCACCUCCUAGUCUUUCACUAUCAAAAUUCACUCCAGCGAUGUCAAGAAAUGGAAUUCUGGAUUUUGUCUUAUAAAAUGAAGCAAUUUUCACUUUU